GUCGAACGGUGAAGCCAAGCUUGCUUGGUGGAUCAGUGGCGAACGGGUGAGUAACACGUGAGCAACCUGCCCUGGACUCUGGGAUAAGCGCUGGAAACGGCGUCUAAUACUGGAUAUGAGCUCUCAUCGCAUGGUGGGGGUUGGAAAGAUUUUUUGGUCUGGGAUGGGCUCGCGGCCUAUCAGCUUGUUGGUGAGGUAAUGGCUCACCAAGGCGUCGACGGGUAGCCGGCCUGAGAGGGUGACCGGCCACACUGGGACUGAGACACGGCCCAGACUCCUACGGGAGGCAGCAGUGGGGAAUAUUGCACAAUGGGCGGAAGCCUGAUGCAGCAACGCCGCGUGAGGGAUGACGGCCUUCGGGUUGUAAACCUCUUUUAGCAGGGAAGAAGCGAGAGUGACGGUACCUGCAGAAAAAGCGCCGGCUAACUACGUGCCAGCAGCCGCGGUAAUACGUAGGGCGCAAGCGUUAUCCGGAAUUAUUGGGCGUAAAGAGCUCGUAGGCGGUUUGUCGCGUCUGCUGUGAAAUCCCGAGGCUCAACCUCGGGCCUGCAGUGGGUACGGGCAGACUAGAGUGCGGUAGGGGAGAUUGGAAUUCCUGGUGUAGCGGUGGAAUGCGCAGAUAUCAGGAGGAACACCGAUGGCGAAGGCAGAUCUCUGGGCCGUAACUGACGCUGAGGAGCGAAAGGGUGGGGAGCAAACAGGCUUAGAUACCCUGGUAGUCCACCCCGUAAACGUUGGGAACUAGUUGUGGGGACCAUUCCACGGUUUCCGUGACGCAGCUAACGCAUUAAGUUCCCCGCCUGGGGAGUACGGCCGCAAGGCUAAAACUCAAAGGAAUUGACGGGGACCCGCACAAGCGGCGGAGCAUGCGGAUUAAUUCGAUGCAACGCGAAGAACCUUACCAAGGCUUGACAUACACCAGAACACCGUAGAAAUACGGGACUCUUUGGACACUGGUGAACAGGUGGUGCAUGGUUGUCGUCAGCUCGUGUCGUGAGAUGUUGGGUUAAGUCCCGCAACGAGCGCAACCCUCGUUCUAUGUUGCCAGCACGUAAUGGUGGGAACUCAUGGGAUACUGCCGGGGUCAACUCGGAGGAAGGUGGGGAUGACGUCAAAUCAUCAUGCCCCUUAUGUCUUGGGCUUCACGCAUGCUACAAUGGCCGGUACAAAGGGCUGCAAUACCGUGAGGUGGAGCGAAUCCCAAAAAGCCGGUCCCAGUUCGGAUUGAGGUCUGCAACUCGACCUCAUGAAGUCGGAGUCGCUAGUAAUCGCAGAUCAGCAACGCUGCGGUGAAUACGUUCCCGGGUCUUGUACACACCGCCCGUCAAGUCAUGAAAGUCGGUAACACCUGAAGCCGGUGGCCUAACCUU
rnacentral:rRNA from 1 species